ACACAUGCAAGUCGAGGGGUAUUAGUUUUCGGACUAAGAGACCGGCGCACGGGUGCGUAACGCGUAUGCAAUCUACCUUUUACAGAGGGAUAGCCCAGAGAAAUUUGGAUUAAUACCUCAUAGUAUAGCAGUUUCGCAUGAAACCACUAUUAAAGUCACAACGGUAAAAGAUGAGCAUGCGUCCCAUUAGCUAGUUGGUAAGGUAACGGCUUACCAAGGCUACGAUGGGUAGGGGUCCUGAGAGGGAGAUCCCCCACACUGGUACUGAGACACGGACCAGACUCCUACGGGAGGCAGCAGUGAGGAAUAUUGGACAAUGGGCGCAAGCCUGAUCCAGCCAUGCCGCGUGCAGGAUGACGGUCCUAUGGAUUGUAAACUGCUUUUGUACGAGAAGAAACACUCCUAUGUAUAGGAGCUUGACGGUAUCGUAAGAAUAAGGAUCGGCUAACUCCGUGCCAGCAGCCGCGGUAAUACGGAGGGUCCAAGCGUUAUCCGGAAUCAUUGGGUUUAAAGGGUCCGUAGGCGGUUUAGUAAGUCAGUGGUGAAAGCCCAUCGCUCAACGGUGGAACGGCCAUUGAUACUGCUGAACUUGAAUUAUUAGGAAGUAACUAGAAUAUGUAGUGUAGCGGUGAAAUGCUUAGAGAUUACAUGGAAUACCAAUUGCGAAGGCAGGUUACUACUAAUUGAUUGACGCUGAUGGACGAA
rnacentral:rRNA from 1 species